GAUGAACGCUGGCGGCGUGCCUAAUACAUGCAAGUCGAGCGAACAGACGAGGAGCUUGCUCCUCUGACGUUAGCGGCGGACGGGUGAGUAACACGUGGAUAACCUACCUAUAAGACUGGGAUAACUUCGGGAAACCGGAGCUAAUACCGGAUAAUAUAUUGAACCGCAUGGUUCAAUAGUGAAAGACGGUUUUGCUGUCACUUAUAGAUGGAUCCGCGCCGCAUUAGCUAGUUGGUAAGGUAACGGCUUACCAAGGCAACGAUGCGUAGCCGAACUGAGAGGGUGAUCGGCCACACUGGAACUGAGACACGGUCCAGACUCCUACGGGAGGCAGCAGUAGGGAAUCUUCCGCAAUGGGCGAAAGCCUGACGGAGCAACGCCGCGUGAGUGAUGAAGGUCUUCGGAUCGUAAAACUCUGUUAUUAGGGAAGAACAAAUGUGUAAGUAACUAUGCACGUCUUGACGGUACCUAAUCAGAAAGCAACGGCUAACUACGUG
rnacentral:rRNA from 1 species